rnacentral:lncRNA from 10 species
GUGCCAAGGAAAGUGCUAUACAGACUGUGAAGUACUGUACCAAGGCCGGUUGCCAGCAAGUAAAGUACUAUACAAACUGUGAAGUACUGUACCAAUGCUGGUUACCGUCAUUAAUGACAAUGACUGUAAACCCAUUUUUACCCCCUUUGGACUCACAGGAACUUAAAGUUGCAAGAAAAUGCAGAAGUUACUAAAUCAAGAUCAAUCUAAAUACAUAUGAAAUCAAUAGAAGGAAGUAAUGAUGAUGAUAGUGAAGACAACAAAUUAUUGAGCAUUGUCCAAAUGCCAAACAUCCUGCUAGAUACAUGCACGGUGUUUUCUCGUUUAAUCUUGAGGCAUCUCCACCCUUGUUCUCCCUCUUUUAUGGAUAAGAAAAACUGAGGCCCACAGAUUUAAACAUGUUUCCCCAAGAUCUUACAACUUCCUUGCUGCCUGCAAAGCCACUGAUCAUGGUGCCUCAUGCCUAGAGCCAGAGCCCAGGAUGAACAAUUGAUGUUUCCCUGCUAACAGUAGACCAGAUCUCCACUCCUGAGGAGAGAAAGGUCACCAAGAAAAAAAUAUUUCGGGAUUUCAUUCUACACUUUGCAAAAGGAAAAGAAAUCUUGGGCCCCCAAAAUCACUAAGGCAAAAGGAAGUCAAACAGUGAACUGAGUCAAGCAUACCUGCCUCCAUUUUAUUGCUAAAUAAGAUAGCUACAACGAUAAAAAAGCUACAAUUUGCUCACAAGGAAAUUGCGUUUGGACAAAAGACAGACAGAACUCAAACUCAUCCCUCUGCUCACCUGAGACAAAUGCACAUCUGAUUGCUUCCUCUGCCCUAUUUUUUCACUAACCCAGACUAAGGCAUAAGUGACUAUUCCUCUACCCUCCUCUCACAGGUAAAUUGUGUAUUCAGUAAAAGGUUCAUCAGAGACUCAAAGGAAUGCAACUUAUUUACCUAUGACCUGGAAACCCCUUCCCUGCCUCAAGUUGUCCCGCCUUUCUGGACCCAACUUAUGGACAUCACAUAAUGAUUGAUGUCUCAUGUCUCCCUAAAAUGUAUAAAUCCAAGCUGUGACCCAACCACCUGUGCCUCAACCCAGACAGAAGAGGGAAUUUGCUACAGGAAAGGGGUCCCAAUCCAGAUGCCAAGUGAGGAUUCUUGGAUAUUGCACAAGAAAGAACUCAGGGUGUGUCCAUAAAGCGAAAGCAAGCUUAUUAGGAAAGUAAAGGAAUAAGAGAAUGGCAACUCCAUAGACAGAGCAGCCCUGAGAGCUGCUGGUUGCCCAUUUUUAUGGUUAUUUCUUGAUGAUAUGCUAAACAAGGGGUGGAUUAUUCAUGCCUCCCCCUUUUAGACCAUAUAAGGUAACUUCCUAAUGUUGCCAUGGCAUCUAUAAAGUGUCAUGGCGCUGGCGGGAGUGUAGCAGUGAGGACCACCAGAGGUCACUCUUGCGGCCAUCUUGUUUUUGGUGGGUUCAGGCCGGGUUCUUUACUGCAACCUGUUUUAUCAGCAAGGCCUUUAUGACCUGUAUCUUGUGCCCACCUCCUAUCUCAUCCUGUGACUUAAAAUGCUUUAAACGUCUGGGAAUGCAGCCCAGUAGGUCUCAGCCUCAUUUUAUUCAGCCUCAUUCAAGAAGUUGUUCUGGUUCACAUGCCUCUGACAGAUUCAAGGGCAGAGACCAACUGGGGAUUAUUUCCUGGGUGAAACCGGGGAAGGCAGCUGGCCUCACACGGAGGUUCAUAUGAUGGCCACAUUUGACAUCAAUAGAGGAGGAAAUACACCAGAAAGGCUAACAGAAGCCUACUGAGCUUGCUGUGGUCCCAAAGGAAGAGCAGAAAGAGCUGGGAGACAGAUGCUCCAAGAGGCAGCAACUUUGGGACAGUCAAGGCACAAAGUAACCUGAAGCCUGUGGACCAGAUGGAAAAUAUCUACAGCGCAAUUUCCAAUUAAGGUCAAUGCAUACAGGUGGCACUGAUAGGAGAGGCAUACAGUUGGUCAGUAGUAGUAACGAUCAUCCCAGCAAAUUCUAGUGUGGAUAGACAAUGAUAAAUGCACAAGAAAAGUUAUCUUUCCUAAGCAGUGUUAAAAAUACCCUUUGCAAUGUAUAUGAAACUCUAACAAGAAUACAUAGGAGCAAUCCCUGAGUCAGUCUGAAAAAAAUAGAUUUAACUGAGGUUAUCUUAAAGUGAUUUACUUACUUGUUUAUUUAUUUUUCAAGACAGGGUCUUGUUCUGUCACCCAGGCUGGAGCGCAGAGGGAGCAAUCCUAGCUCACAGCAGCCUCAACCUCCUGGUCUCAAGCGAUCCUACCAUCUCAGCCUCCUGAGUAGCUGGGACUACGAGGGCCCACCACCAUGCCCAGCUAAUUAAAAAAAAUUUUUUGUGUAUAGACCAAGCCUCUUUACAUUGCCGAAGCUGGUCUCAAACUCCUGGGCUCAAACAAUCAUCCCGGCUUGGCUUCCCAAAGUGUUGGUCUUACAGGGGUGACCCACCACGCCCAGCUAUCUUAAAGUGAUUUAGAUUAAGAUUCUAUUCUGCUGCAAGGUAAUCUGGAGACUUUUAACAAAAAUUAAUUUCCAUUAUUAAAAAAUUGAGAUGUAUAUAUUUCCUGCAAAUGACUAUGCACUGACAGUAUUUAAUUGUUAAACCUGUGAGAUGAUUUUCUUUUGGGUAAAAGACUCUCCUUGGAUGAACUUCCAGACAAGUGACCACAAUGAAUGGGGCUUCUAGGAGGAAGGCAGCUCUUGCAGGGAUCCUGGGGAAAUGUGGUUUCAAAACUGGGGUGAGAAUGAAGGCCCAAUUUUGAGUUGUGGCCAUUUUUCUGAGACCUUAUCUCCACCCCACUAAAAAUCCCGGGGAGGAAGGGGGCAAGAAACCAGCUCUCUCCCACAUUUGCUGUCAUGUCUGUACCUUUGCAACACCAGACAAAUGGACCAAGGCUGCAUUUGAGACAUUAGAAGGAUUUUUCUCUUUGGAUUUCUGCUUUGCUCUCUUGUAUACAAGAAGGAUAAAUAAUGUUGGAACAUAAUAAAAAUGCUUUCAGUCCCCUGAAGCUAAGAAAGCAUUUUAACGUAGUGAGUGAUGUUGCAAAACCUUCUUUAUCAAGAAACAUGAAGAAAAAGCUUUUCAGAUCUGGCUGCGUACCAGAUCUCUGUGUUAGAGACACCUCCCCAGAGAUGGCCGGGGAGAGGCUUGAUUGGAUGGUACUGCUCUCAUGCCGUCUAGCAGCUGAGAGCUCAGGACACAGAGGCACCUGGCUUUUCAGGAGCUGCUCCCAUUCCCUCUUAAGCCUCAUCUCUUGCCACAAAUUUACCAGGCCCUCCCACCCCUGCCCAAGCAAGC